rnacentral:rRNA from 1 species
GAUGAACGCUGGCGGCGUGCCUAAUACAUGCAGGUCGUGCGGAAAGGCCACUUCGGUGGUACUCGAGCGGCGGACGGCAGAGUAACGCGUAGGAACAUACCCCCAAACUGAGGCAUAACUGCUCGAAAGAGCAGCUAAUACCGCAUGUGAUCUUCGGAUUAAAGCUUCGGCGGUUUGGGAAUGGCCUGCGUCCGAUUAGCUAGUUGGUGAGGUAAAUGCUCACCAAGGCUUCGAUCGGUAGCUGGUCUGAGAGGAUGAUCAGCCUGACUGGAACUGAGAACGGUCCAGACCCCUACGGGAGGCAGCAGUAGGGAAUUUUCCACAAUGGGCGAAAGCCUGAUGGAGCAACGCCGCGUGCAGGAUGAAUGCUUCGGGUUGUAAACUGCUUUAUUAGUGAAGAAUAUGACGGUAACUAAUGAAUAAGGGUACGGCGUAACUACGUAGCCAGCAGCCGCGGUAAU